UUCUCCAGUGGUUUCAGAAUUUUGCAGUGUUUCUGCUGCAUUUUUGUGCCAUUCUUCAUAAUCCUCCCUGGUUUGAUGCUCCCAAAUGGGGACCCGAGGAGAUAGGAGUAGAGACAGAACAGUACCAAUAUGAUGGCCGGGACUAUCUCCCUGAGGAAGAUUCUGUAGUGAUGUGAAACCAUGGAGCUUUUACCCUCUGGAUAUGGGCUAAGAUGCCACCGUCAGUAAUAAGGUCCUGGAUCUUGAAGGCCUUUUGACAGGACUGAAUCUCGUCCAUCAUUUAUGGGGGGACGCAAUAUCAGAACAGGCAGAAGAAAACGGUCAUCACUGGGAUUGCCUUUUUAAGAGAAGAGGAAUGCCAUUUAUUCAAGGUUUGGAAUCAGUGGAAUGAGGUAGACUGAGUUACUUCUUUGGACAUGUCUUCAAUUAGGUUGCUGCCUUUGAAGGAAAAAUGGAAUUCAAAUGCUUUGUCAAUAUUUGCAUCACUGAAAAGACAACCAAUGAGAUACCAGACAAGCAUAUUUCUGAGUGAAGAUACUCAAGAAGUAUUGGUAUUAAAGUAUCUACAAUCAAUAUAUUCAAAAGAAAAUGUUGUAAUCACCAGCCUAAGGAGGCAGUGCUUGUUCUAGAUUGGAUACAAGAGUACUAUAAAUUGUAUUUUAUCUCUUCAAUGAGUGCUGAAAACACUAACCACAACCCUAGAAAAGAUGUUUUAUUUUUGAAGAUACCAACCAAGUCAUGACCUGUAGAAGACUGUUGACGUUGAAAUAUGUAUUUGAAUGUGAUAAUAAGGCUAUGGUGUUCAAGUAUAUUGACUUGAUGUUAAAAUACUAAGACCUAGCUAAGCACUCUUAAUUGAUUCGGUGAAAAUGAUGAUGGAGUUCUCUGUCAUCAAUAAUGAAUGAGCCUUGAUCCAGUCACACAGACUUUGGGUUAAGAGAAGGAAUUGAUUAUAGUACUAAUAGUUUGCUUAGUAUCUACUUGCAUGCUUUCAUCCCUCUGAACCAUGUCACUGCUAGAACAGUAGGUGCAACAAGUGAUUAAAAUGACACUCUGUGUUAAACAAACAAAUGCAAAACAAAGUGAGUGUCCCAUAUGAAAUUGUAAAAUGGGCAUUGAUGUAUCCUCAUGAUUUAUUUUAUUAAUGAUGUGCAUUUAUCUAUGGUUUUAUUUAUUUUGGUGGUAGUGGUUCCUGUCGUUUUGUUGUCUGUCUUCCCCUUCUAGACCAUGAGCCUAGAAGGUUGUUGGGUAGGGAUUGUCUCUAUAUGUUGACAAAUUGUACUUUCCAAGCACUUAGUACAGUAAAUGUUCAGUAAAUGCGAUUGAAUGAGUUAAUGAAUAACCAAAAGAAUAUAAGCAUGAGAAGCAGCAUGACCUUUUGGAUAAAGCAUGGAACUGGGAGUCAGAAGGACCUGAGUUUUAAUGCUGGCUCCCCCACUUGACUGCUGUGUGACUUGGGCAAGACAUUUAACUUCUCUGUGCCUCAGUUACCUUACCUGUAAAAUGGGGUUUAUGACUGUGAGCCUCAUAUGGUACACGGACUGUGUCCAACCUAAUUUGUGUGUAUAUAUCCCAGAAUUUAGGACAGUGCGUGUCCCA
rnacentral:lncRNA from 1 species